rnacentral:rRNA from 1 species
AAGCAACGCGAAGAACCUUACCAGGCCUUGACAUGCAGAGAACUUUCCAGAGAUGGAUCGGUGCCUUCGGGAACUCUGACACAGGUGCUGCAUGGCUGUCGUCAGCUCGUGUCGUGAGAUGUUGGGUUAAGUCCCGUAACGAGCGCAACCCUUGUCCUUGGUUACCAGCACGUUAUGGUGGGCACUCUAAAGGGACUGCCGGUGUUAAACCGGAGGAAGGUGGGGAUGACGUCAAGUCCUCAUGGCCUUUAUGACCAGGGCUACACACGUACUACAAUGGCCGAUACAAAGGGCAGCGACACUGCGAGGUGAAGCCAAUCCCGUAAAAUCGGUCUCAGUCCGGAUUGGAGUCUGCAACUCGACUCCAUGAAGUUGGAAUCGCUAGUAAUCGUGGAUCAGCAUGCCACGGUGAAUACGUUCCCGGGCCUU